rnacentral:misc_RNA from 1 species
CUCAAGAUAGACUAGUUAGUGCUGACUCAUGUGACAGAGAAGCUGCCUUUGUAAAUAAUUGUGAUGGACCUGAUAGAUAUUGUCUUUCGGGUGAAGGCUUGGGGUGUUCCAUCGCAAAUGGGAUUCAGGAAAAUGUUUCAUCUUCUUGUAACAUAAUGCAAUCAUUGGUUUGCCACUGGCCCAGUUUGGAAAGAAUUGCAACUUUUGGUACCAGCAACUUGGAUUCUAAAGCUGCUUUUGCAAUU